GGUCAUCUGUGGAUUAGCAACAUCACUGGAACAGUCAGCUCCAAAGCCACGCCCACCUACUGCAAGCCAUGCCAGCAAAAUGCAUGCCUGUGCCUCCAUUCCCACUUAACUCCAUUUCAAAUUCUGUUCUUACAUGAAGGCACCUGAUUGGUGGAACCUGAAGUAUACCAGACCGCAAGCUGCAAGGGAGUCUGAGGACCACCCUUUUUAGCCUCUCUGUAUUUGCAGUACAAGAAGGCAUCCUAGAAGGAGGUUGAGGUAAGUAUUGAAAGACAAACUACCGUAUCUGCCACAGCACGUGAACUUUUUGUUCAGGCAAGAUGAGAAUGUUAAUCUACUCGAGUGGAAGUGUUUUAUAGUUACUCUGAAAAAAAAAUGGGGCCAGAACACUCCACUCCACCAGCGUCCAUUAUCAUGAAGAACAUAGAUUCUGGCACAUGGUAUUUUGUCACUCAUUGUUUUAAUCAGUCAUGUGAACAUUAACAAUACUCUCCUGCAAUUUCGUUUUCCCCGUGGAAAGUGUCUCCCUGAGAAGCUGCGAGCUCUUCAAGGGUAGACUGUGUAUUCCCAAAAUGCUUGAACAUAGUUAUAAGUAUACAGUGGAGGUUGGGUAAGAAUUAUUAAGCAUUUUUAAAAAGUAAGUUUAACUAAUCAUCAGAAGUAGUCAGGAAUAUUUAUACCCACUUCUCUUUAGCCAGGAUCUAAGAGUCUUUUCCUAUCUCAAGAUCAUUUCCUAAUUCCAUAAUUUAGAAAUGUUGUGGGACCUUUAAUAUACCAGUUGUUGGCAUUGAAUCUGGACUGGGAAAUAUAUUGAGGGUUAAGAGUUUAAGAAUUUUAAAAAAUUCAUCUUAAAUAUGUACCACUAUUACUCUAUUUCCACCAUGGUGGGGGUGGGGCCAGAAUUACCCUUCUAACUGAAAAAACACCCAGCAACAGAAACAGACAAAAUAUACGAAACAUUGGUUUUCAAGGCCCUGGACAUUAGGCAACGGGCAGUGCUCCCUGUGAGAGAGGAAACAAAUGAGGCGACCACUGCCCUGCCUCGGGUCCCUGCCUGAGUGAGCUCCCGGUAGGGCCGGGCACAGGGAGGAGGAGCUGAGAGAGAGCCCAGGGCAUUCCCUGGGUCGAAGACGGUGCUGAAACUUGAGGAAGACCAAGGCGAGUAGCGCUCUCAGGACAGAGUACCAAAGAGGAGAGAGCUACACAGAGAGAGAACGCCAGAGGUCUGCAAAGGGUCCUCCUUGAGUCUUCAGCUGAGUACCUACAGCUCAGGUAUGAGAGGAAACUCUUUGAGGUUGGGAAAGAGCCAUCCAAAAGAGUGAAAGGUGACAGUGCCCAGGGCUCACACAGGACCUGGACUAGUGUCUAUUUCCACCGGCCAGAGCAGAACCCUACUGAGUCCCAGGCACUGGGUGAUCAGAGAGGUGUGGCCUCAGCAGUAGUGAAUAAUUAGCCCUAGACUGAGCACUGCUCCAGACCCUCCUAACAAAUCGUAACAGCAAGACGCAAAGGAUCAAACUGCUUCCAACCAACCUAACUGCGUCCCAGAACAAGGCUCAAGAAUAUUUAUAGGGGGGCUGGCCCGGUGGCAGAGUGGUUAAGUCCUCGCGCUCCGCUGCAGGCGGCCCAGUGUUUCGUUGGUUCGAAUCCUGGGCGCGGACGUGGUACUGCUCAUCAAACCACGCUGAGGCAGCGUCCCACAUGCCACAACUAGAAGGACCCACAGCGAAGAAUAUACAACUAUGUACCAGGGGGCUUUGGGGAGAAAAAGGAAAAGAUAAAAAUCUUCAUUAAAAAAAAGGAAUAUUUAUAGGAAAACAAAAAUAUCCAGCACCCAAGAAGGCAAAAUUCACAAUGUCAGACAUUCAGUAAAAAAAUUACCAGUCAUGCAAUGAAGAAAGAAAAUGUGACCCAUAAUAAGGAGAUAAAUAAAUCAAAACUGAUGCAGAACUGACAGAGAUGCCAGAAUCAACAGACAAGGACGUUAAAACAAUUAUUAUAACUGUACUCCAGAUGUUCAAAAAGUGAAGUAGAGACUUUUAUUGGCCUUCUUUCCUUCCUUCCCUCCUGAAUAAUUCAGUCCAAAGCCAUCAGUGGGGCCAAGCAGGGUCAGUACCUGUGAAGGGGCCUGGAGCUGAGGCUGGGGCAUGGUGGUGUCAGAGCCCUGGCGGGGUUAGAAGGACAUUUGCAUGGUGGGGUAUCAGUAAUGGGAGAUUGGUUACACACCUGGGGUUGACUCAGAACAUAAACAUAUUGAGGAAAAUGGGAAUCAGCUUUCUCAUUAUCGGAAAAGGGAGUUACAAAAUGGGAAGGGAGAAAAUUGGAUGAAUUAGAGGCAGUGGUGAGAACUCAGGUUUUCAACAAAUAGAGAUGGGUAACAAAAUGAACGUAGAUGUGGAUGUGGACACAUACGUAUCUACAGAUAGACAUUCCCUGGCUCUGUCCACCGAGAGGGUCUGGGAGCAGCCUCACCCCAACAUCAUGGAGACACUUCUGAUUAGAGGUCAAAGGAAAGGUAUGUCCAUAGAGGAGAAACCUCAGAUCCAUCUUCAAAGAAUGUCUUUAGUCUUUACAAGUCAUAAGGACAAAUCAAGCACGUCAAUGAACACUGAAUUUCUACACUCAAAACUUUAUUUUAUAGACCUUAACUUAUUUACAACAUACAAAAAUGAUAGAAAAAUAAAAGUGUGGCUUUGGGUUAAUCCUGGGAUCCAAUUUCAACUCUAACAUUUACUAAUUUUGUGACCCUGGAGAAUCAUUUCAUCUCUCAGAUCCUCAAUUUUCUCAAAUGUAAAAUGAAUAUACCUACCUUUUAGUGUUCUGUGUUAUUAAUCAGAUCAUGCACAUCCCACAGCGCCUGGCAUAAAAUAAAUGCUCAGCAAAGCAUAGCCAUUAGCACAUUUGUGUGUGGUGUAAGUUGGGCAGGUUUUUACUAUUUUGGUUUAACAGGAAAAGAAAGACAUGGGGCAGCAAAGACACAUCAGAGCAGAAAAUAUCAAUUAAUUCAGACAACAAAUGACUUUUAAGUAGGAACUGGACAUGCCCAGAGGGAGGAAGGCAUUCCAGAGAGCUGGGAGGGGAGGAGUAAACUCCCAGGUAGGCAACAGCAGGGGGUGCAUAGGCAGCAUCACUGCCAGGGCUGCCCGGAGCACAGGAGCCAGAAGGAGGUGCGUGGGAAGUGAGGCUGUCAAGAUGAUUUGCUCCAGAUUGUGUAGAGUUUCAAUACAAAGCUAUACUAAGUUUUAUUCUGUAGCAUCAACUCUUGUGUUUAUGAUUUAUAGCCCAUUAGCCCGUACUGUGUCUACAUAUCUCUUAAUCAAGAUUCACCUCUGAUUUAGAGGAGUUACUCAUUAGACGGUGUCCUAGCCAGGAGGCCUCUGCCUGCCCUGGGUUUCUCAGGUGAGCGCUGCUUUUCACUGUUGCUUGAUGAGGAGUAUUUAAGAGUGAGGAGCUAUUGCUAACGUGAAUAAAAGUUUGCUCCCUCAGUUUCCCCAGAGGGUUUCCCCAGAGCGUUUCCCCAGUAGUCCUCAGCAGGGAAGAUCCCGGGGGGCAGCUCCUACAUGGAACUGACACACACGUCUAAAGCACGUGAGAGGAAUGCAGAUUCAGGAAACAACACAUAUCAGGAAAAAUAUGUGGUUUCAAAAAGGUUAAACCUGGAAUUAUUUAAUGAUAAAAAUAUUGAAGUCAGUAACCUCCCUCCCAUUCAAACAACUAAGCAAAUAAAGGACUAUUGUAAAGAGAAUGCAUAUGUCUUGACCAAAAUCUCAGAGAUCUGAGAUUUUGACAGAACUGUGUCCGUGAUGUCGCCUAUGCAGUAGGACUUGAAGGAUACUGCAGGUCCAAGGGCUCCACACUUAAAACUAGCUUCAAUGUUCCCCAUGAGAGACAGGGCUUGUUCCUUCUCCCAGAAGGGUAGGGUGGAGCUGGGCACUGUUUCUCCAUCAGUGUGUCCCGGCACUUGGUUUUCAGGGCUAUUUAUGAUAUCCUACCAUCUUGGGUCUCUAUACUCCACCACUUGGCAAAAUUCUGCACAGGAGGAAGAAGCAGAGGUUGUGGUAACUGUUGUGAGAAAGGAGAAUGGACAGAUUUAACUAGAAAAAAAGUCUGGGUGGAAGAUGUAGAGACUGGACUCAAUGACUGAGAAAAGCAAUGAAAUCACCUUUCCUAGAAACAGCUGAAAAAUACAAUAAACGCUCAUUUGUAAAAGUUAAUGAGUUUGUUAAAAUGAGUUAAUUAAUGCUACGGUAGGCACUAGGGAUAUGGGAAAUAAAACCAAGGGCCUGCCCUCCAGGAGCUCACGGUUCCACAGGAAGGCAGACACACACACAAAGAACUCCCAUGUCCCCACAUCGCAGGGAGGGCCUCUAGCAGAGGUUUAGGGGUGGGGCUGGGGAGGACGAAGCGUCCAACUUCCAGAAGAAGUGAAGGAGAGCCUGAGACCAUGGAGCAGCUGGACCCGGACUGGGAAGAUAAGCCAGGAUCCACCAGCAAUACAACCCUUCACGGUGGGUGACGCAGAGUCGGGGGCUGUGCAAGGAGUUGGGGUCAUCUCAGCCUUGGGGACAACGUUGACAAGUUUGGGUUUACAGAUGUGUGUACACACAUUGAGAAAAAGCUAGAAGGAUAUACACCUAUAACAUGGUACCCCAGUAAAUGUCCACUGGAUUGCUAUCUUCAUAACUAGUAGGCAUGACCCCUAACCAGUCUUCCUGGGCUCAAGCCCCAGCUAUGAGACUUACCAGCUGUGAGCCCUUGGGCAAGUUACUUAACCUCUCUGUGCCUCAAUUUUCUCAUCUGUGAAAAGAAGGUAGAGUAACACCUAUCUGACAGGAUUGUUGUGAAUUAAAGGAACCAAUAUCUAAAAAGUGCUUAGACUACUGCAUGGCACACAGAAAACACAAUAUAAGUGUUUGCGGUUAUCUAUCAACUGGGGAAGUUUUUGUGGGUUUUUUUCCUGAAAGAAGAAGAUUCUUUUGCUGUAAUUAUUGGGGCUUCACCUCCUGUUUGUUUGUGUUCUGGGUGCCUGAGUGCCCAAAGGAGCUUAGAGAAUGAAGGAAACGAGGGAGUGACAUGGUAUCUGUCCCUUCUUGCCAAGCUUGGAGACUCUGAACACAAGCAAUGCCUCUUCAGGACCCAGUGACCCAGUCACCCCGGAGGAUGGGGGCUCUGAAUUCCAACAUUUGGCACCAUUUGUCCUGCUGAACUGCACCCAUUCGCGAGCAAGGUCACAGAUGAGUUUGCUGCAACUCUCUCCACUCUACUGGCAGCAUGGCUUAUGCCAAGCAGUGCCUUGUCUGCACCGGGAACUGAACUGGAGAACCCUGGGCCACUGAGAAGCGGAACGUGCA
rnacentral:lncRNA from 1 species